CUAUAUUACGCGUAAAGGAUAUAGUGAAAAUAUCUGUAAUAAAUUCUAUACGAUAAAUGGAAUUAAAUUAGGAGAGAGCGAUAUGAAUGCAAGGCCUAAAGACUUUUGGUUGGGACCGAGCGCGCGUGUCUAGAUAGAAAUAAUGAUAAAGCUAACUACUCAACAAGGAUGAAAGUUUAAAAUAGAAAAAAAAGUUUGAUGAAAUUUGCAACAACAACAAAAGAAUUAGUUAUUACAAAAGUUAUAGGUGCAGAGUUUUACGAGCUAUGCUUUCUGUUCCAUUAUCCUGGCUUAUUCGAUGUAUAUACAGAAGGGAAUAAAACAUUCGCUGAACUCUAUCUACAUAAAGAGAAUAAUUCAAUAUCAUCUUAUAUCCAAG